rnacentral:misc_RNA from 1 species
AUGGACGAAGAGAGUGAUCAGGAGAACACGAUCGAGGACGAUUACUACACCUUCCUCAAUAUUGCGAGAAAUGCCAGUCCUGAAGACAUCAGCAAUGCAUACCGCAGACAAAGUAGGUUGUAUCAUCCUGACAAGCAUACGGAUCCAGUACUUAAAAAAGAGGCGGAAAUUCUUUUCAAUCGUACAAAAAAAGCAUACGAAGUAUUAAGCGAUCCACAUCAAAGAGCAAUUUACGAUUCGCUGGGGAUCCGUGGUUUAGAGACAGAGGGAUGGGAAAUCGUACAUCGUACAAAGACACCUCAGGAAAUUCGUGAGGAAUAUGAAAGAUUGGCAAGAGAGCGAGAGGAGAGACGUUUACAGCAGCAAACCAAUCCCAAAGGCACUGUAACGGUAAACAUCAAUGCCACUGAUAUUUUCAGUAAAUAUGACGAAGAUUACAGUGAUAGCAGUGGAUUAUUUUCAUGCAUCGAGGUCAGCGGGAUGUCGUUUGCGCAGUCUAUUGAAGCACCUCUUACUCUAAGGGACACCGUGACCAUGUCUGGACAACUCGGAACCCAAAAUGGCACAGGUUCCGGGUCCGUUAGUGUUUCGAUGAAACGAUUGAUAUCGUCGAAAGGUUGGUUCGAGGUCGAGGUCGGUGCCGGCAAUGGCCCAACGUUUUCUCUUAAGGGCUUUCGCACGUUGACGAAGAGGCUGUUCUGCGACGGCGCAACAAUAUUGCAAUUUACGCCGCGCGGGGUGAAAGCUGGUUAUGUAGGAACUCUGGCAAUGCAACUGGAUAAGCACACAGUGGGAUACCUUACGUACAGAGCUGGUAUUCAAGGUGCCAUGAGCACUAUGAUCGUGAGAGACACGUCUCGAUCGUACACGGCGCUCUCCGUACACUUUGGGUUGCUGCAUUCGUUCGUCAGCCUUAAUUAUACCUAUAAGAUGGAGGAGAAGCAACUGAAACUUCGCGGGAGCGUCAAAGCUGGCACGUUUGGCGCGUUCCUCGAGUAUGGCGCGGAGAAGAAAGUCUCCGAGCACAGUUCGGUUUCGGCGGCCGUGCGGAUCGGCACGCCGACCGGCGUGACACUAAAGAUCAGGUUGAAUCGCGCUUCGCAAGCGUACUCCUUCCCGAUCCACUUGUGCGAUGAAGUGCUUCCAGCUCCCGUCUUUUACGCCACGGUAGCUCCUAUAAUUACUUGGGCGGUCAUUAAAAAGCUCGUGAUCGAUCCUGUCGUGAGGGAACGAAAAGAACGUGAGAAGGAGAAACAACGCGAACUGAACAAGUCCAGAAUAAUGGAGAAACAGAGAGAAGCCAAAGCCGCGACCGAACUGAUGAAAGAGACUGUUAGUAGGAUAAGAGCGGAAGAAGAAUCCAAGAAGGGACUGAUCAUCACCAAAGCUUUGUACGGUCGAUUCGUUUAUCCUCAGCAAGACAGAGGCACGGAGGAGAGCGGACACAGAGAUGAGAUGAUAGACGUGACGAUUCCUUUGCAAUGUUUGGUCAAGGAUUCCAAAUUGAUUCUUCAUAAGGCAUCUAAGAGUCAGCUACCUGGAUUUUACGAUCCAUGCGUGGGAGAAGACAAACAACUCUUGGUGCAGUAUCUCUUCCAUACCCAAACGCACGAAUGUCUUAUACAGGAUGAUGCAGCUCUCAGGAUACCCGUCUCUUCACAUAAAGUGAACACCACCUGACAGAUGCGCUCGACGUCGAAGUCAAAACGCAGUCGUCGCGGUCCUCGUCAGUGAUCAACAUCGGCUCAGCGCAGAUUACUUCUAGAGGUUUAAUUUUACAUAGGUGGCAAAAAAUUCCAUGCAAGGAUGCAUCAUGGAUGAAGAUACCAAGCAGCUUUAUAGUUAUACAUAUAUAGAACUGAUAAAUGUGUAUGUAUACAUAUAUGCACACAUAUGUUACUAAAUAUAGAGACAAACAUUUGUUAAUCGAUUGCACAGAGCCGAUUACCAGUGGGAUAAGUGUUAGUGUAUUACAAUACAAUUUACUUGUACAAAAUAGACACCGUUGUGAAGGUUCGUAAGAUGCAUGUAUUAAAUUAUAUGCAUAAUACUUGGCUCAUGAAUAUAAUUAAUAACAAUAGCAAACAAGUA